GAAACCCCAUGUCUCUGAUGCAUCUCGAACAUUGUCCACAAUCUCCUUAUGCUUGAUUGGGUCCUCAUCGAUGCCUUCAAUGUCUAUCACAGGGAAAAUGAACUGUGUUUCAUUUGUAUCCGAUAACUCCGGCCUUUUUUUUGGUGGUAGAAUGAAUAUUUGAGGUACUUUAGUGAUUCCAGAAUCAACAAUUCCUUUGACACCAGCCUUAGUAUCA
rnacentral:misc_RNA from 1 species